rnacentral:rRNA from 1 species
UACAGAGGGGGCAAGCGUUGUUCGGAAUUACUGGGCGUAAAGGGCGCGUAGGCGGCCUUCUAAGUCGAACGUGAAAUCCCCGGGCUCAACCCGGGAACUGCGUCCGAUACUGGAUGGCUUGAAUUCGGGAGAGGGAUGCAGAAUUCCAGGUGUAGCGGUGAAAUGCGUAGAUAUCAGGAGGAACACCGGUGGCGAAGGCGGGUCUCUGGGCCGAUACUGACGCUGAGGAGCGAAAGCGUGGGGGAGCGAACAGG